GCUCCAAGUACAUCAACAGAAACCUCAACUGUUUACCUUAACUCAGAAUAAGAUUAUAUAUUUUGAGCCUAUAGCAUACAAAUAGUGAUUUGUCACUGUGUAGUCAUGACACUGGUCAGUGUUGGUGUAAUUUUCUGUCUCCACAUGUUUGUACAGAAGACAUCAUGACACAGGACAGUCAUCUACAGAUGGUGAUCGUCGUGGCGUGUGCUGUCACUGGCGGUGUGCUGAUUCUGCUGCUGGGACUUCUAGUUUUUAAACGUCAGCGAAAAACAGGAGCUGACAGCUGGUUUAAAAUCAGUCAUGCAAGUUCAGAGGAUAUGUUGGACUGCAGUACUACAGUCAUCUAUUCAGCUAGUACAGCUCAGUGAGCCUUAACACUGGAAACUCCUGUACAGAAUCUUGUAGCCUAUUUCCUUUGAGAAAAAAAAAUAAAAAUAAAAAAAUUGAAUGGAAUUGAAAACAUCAAAUUAAUCUUGUAUUAAUAAUAAAUCAUGCAUUAUUUUGGUAAAUUAGGAAUGAAUUAAGAGUAAUAAAUCUUGUUGAGAUUGUGUUGUGUGUGCUCUCUCUGUAAGCAACAGGUCUUUGGGUUUCAUUUGCAUGGGAGAAAACAAAUGCAACAAACAUCAUCUGAGUAAUCAGACUUGAAUUAAUAUGCUUGCAUACCAGAAAGAAACCUCCAUGUGGUUUCAUGACACACAACUGUGUUAAAUCUAGCAACGCAUUUCCUGGUAUGGAAAAAAAGCUAAAAAUAUUUCAACUAAAAGUUAGAAUGCAAAAUGAAAAAUAUUAAAUUGCAAGAAUUUUAAACUAUAAGACAUUCAUAAAAAUAAAUGUAAAAUGAUUGCAUUCCCUAUGUGCACCAAAGCCCAUAAAAAGUAAUUUCAUUUUAGACCAGCACUCAGAACAGGAACAUGAAACAAAAGU